GUYUCCGUUGGUGAACCAGCGGAGGGAUCAUUG
rnacentral:rRNA from 1 species